rnacentral:rRNA from 1 species
CCUACGGGAGGCAGCAGUGAGGAAUAUUGGUCAAUGGACGGAAGCCUGAACCAGCCAAGCCGCGUGCAGGAUGACGGUCCUAUGGGUUGUAAACCUCUUUUGUACGGGAAUAAAGCUGAGUACGUGUACCCCGCUGCAUGUACCGUACGAAUAAGGAUCGGCUAACUCCGUGCCAGCAGCCGCGGUAAUACGGAGGAUCCGAGCGUUAUCCGGAUUUAUUGGGUUUAAAGGGUGCGUAGGCGGAUUGUUAAGUGAGCGGGGAAAUGUCCGGGCUUAACCCGGGACCUGCCGUGGAAACUGGCGUGCUCGAGUGUGAGAGAGGUAGGCGGAAUGCGUGGUGUAGCGGUGAAAUGCUUAGAGAUCACGCAGAACUCCGAUUGCGAAGGCAGCUUGCCGGCGCCUAACUGACGCUGAGGCACGAAAGCGUGGGUAUCGAACAGGAUUAGAUACCCGAGUAGUC